GUAGGUGGCAAGCGUUGUCCGGAAUUAUUGGGCGUAAAGCGCGCGCAGGCGGUUCUUUAAGUCUGAUGUGAAAGCCCACGGCUCAACCGUGGAGGGUCAUUGGAAACUGGAGAACUUGAGUACAGAAGAGGAAAGCGGAAUUCCACGUGUAGCGGUGAAAUGCGUAGAGAUGUGGAGGAACACCAGUGGCGAAGGCGGCUUUCUGGUCUGUAACUGACGCUGAGGCGCGAAAGCGUGGGGAGCAAACAGGAUUAGAUACCCUGGUAGUCCACGCCGUAAACGAUGAGUGCUAAGUGUUAGGGGGUUUCCGCCCCCCUUAGUGCUGCAGCUAACGCAUUAAGCACUCCGCCCUGGGAUACGGCCGCAAGGCUG
rnacentral:rRNA from 1 species